CUCUGGGCCAUCAUAUUGGCUCAGGGCAAAGGAG
rnacentral:ncRNA from 1 species